rnacentral:rRNA from 1 species
GUGUCAGCCGCCGCGGUAAUACGAGUGGUGCUAGCGUUAUUCGGAAUCAUUGGGCGUAAAGGGCGCGUAGACGGCGUGUUAAGUUUGCUGUUAAAUCCUUCGGCUCAACUGAAGAUCAGCGGUGAAUACUGGCAUGCUAGAGGGUGGAAGAGAGAAGUGGAAUUCUCGGAGUAGCGGUAAAAUGCGUAGAUCUCGAGAGGAACACCAAUGGCGAAGGCAGCUUCUUGGUCCAUUCCUGACGUUGAGGCGCGAAAGCGUGGGGAGCAAACAGGAUUAGAUACCCCGGUAGUCC